UGCGCCGCGGCUGGCGCGGCAAGCGGCGCGGGCCUGACCGGCCCGGCGGCUCAUGGCGUCGGCGUGCUCAGCCCGCGCUCGCGUAC
rnacentral:tRNA from 1 species